GCAUAUCAAUAAGCGGAGGAAAAGAAACCAACAGGGAUUGCCCUAGUAACGGCGAGUGAAGCGGCAACAGCUCAAAUUUGAAAUCUGGCUCUUUUAGAGUCCGAGUUGUAAUUUGCAGAGGGCGCUUUGGCUUUGGCAGCGGUCCAAGUUCCUUGGAACAGGACGUCACAGAGGGUGAGAAUCCCGUACGUGGUCGCUGGCUAUUGCCGUGUAAAGCCCCUUCGACRAGUCGAGUUGUUUGGGAAUGCAGCUCUAAAUGGGAGGUACAUUUCUUCUAAAGCUAAAUAUUGGCCAGAGACCGAUAGCGCACAAGUAGAGUGAUCGAAAGAUGAAAAGCACUUUGGAAAGAGAGUCAAACAGCACGUGAAAUUGUUGAAAGGGAAGCGCUUGCAGCCAGACUUGCUUACAGUUGCUCAUCCGGGUUUCUACCCGGUGCACUCUUCUGUAGGCAGGCCAGCAUCAGUUUGGGCGGUAGGAUAAAGGUCUCUGUCACGUACCUCCUUUCGGGGAGGCCUUAUAGGGGAGACGACAUACUACCAGCCUGGACUGAGGUCCGCGCAUCUGCUAGGAUGCUGGCGUAAUGGCUGUAAGCGGCCCGUCUUGAAACACGGACCAAGGAGUCUAACAUCUAUGCGAGUGUUUGGGUGUCAAGCCCGAGCGCGUAAUGAAAGUGAACGGAGGUGGGAACCCGCAAGGGUGCACCAUCGACCGAUCCUGAUGUCUUCGGAAGGAUUUGAGUAAGAGCAUGGCUGUUGGGACCCGAAAGAUGGUGAACUAUGCUUGAAUAGGGUGAAGCCAGAGGAAACUCUGGUGGAGGCUCGCAGCGGUUCUGACGUGCAAAUCGAUCGUCAAAUUUGGGCAUAGGGGCGAAAGACUAAUCG
rnacentral:rRNA from 1 species